CACAUUUCUGUCCUUUGAGAGUUUAUGAAAAGACUGGUUUCUGUCCCAACAUACAGAGAAGACACAUCCUAAGAACAGGUAUAAAAAUAAAUACAAAUAAGUUGGAGACAUCAAACUGAAAAGCUUCUGCAGAGUAAAAGGAAAUAGAAGAAGCCUUACAGGACAAGAAAAAAACAUCUGCAAACCAUAUACUUGAUGGAGAGACUAAAGAAAGAAAAUGGUAACCACUUGAAUAAAAAUCAGCCCCAAAAUGAAUAGCUAUUAUCCAAUGAGGACACACAAAUUGGCAACAGGAAGAGAAAAAAUCCCAGGCUUCUAAGAAACCAUUUCCUUUGGAGCAGACCACCUUCCCAAACCACAUUUCAAGCUCUGAUUCCUCAACCUGUGUCAUCUGCUUCAUUCACUCCCUCUUACCUGGAAGUUUGGCUAAUGUGCCAUGUCUCUUCACAUCCCAGGGCUCUUUCCUUUGCUC